CAUUAAUAAUUUCUAAGAAUCAACAGAGGGUCCCACAAUCCUUUGGGUGGAGCUUGAUGAGAAUGGGUACAACAGAAGGCAGUGCUUUGUUACUACAAAUCUCAUUUUGCAGAGGAUCUGCCACAGUCAUAAUGAUUUUGUUUUACCUUAACGUUUUGGCACUUCUAACUGAGAGUGUUUCUGCGAAUGCAAUAACACCCCUCUCUACUGAAAAUAAUUUUUUCGAAGGAGGAAAAGUGACUCUUUCAUGCAGCUACAGUGGAAGUAACAUAAAGAGUUGGCAGUGGUACAGACAGUAUCCCAACACUGCACCUGAAUUUCUCUUGCAAGCUUUUGAAAGUUUGGGUCCACAGCAGAAGGACCGUUAUGUUGCUGAAGCUCAAAAGGACAAAAAACAUCUGAACCUGGAGAUCUCCAAAACUGAAGUGGCAGAUGCUGCAAUAUACUACUGUGCCCUGGUGCCCACAGUAACAGGAAACCCUUCAACACUGUACAAAAACCUGAGAGGAUGAAGAGUACAUGAAAAGAACCAUUUCUUCUCAGUGGCAAUAAUGUUAAAAUAUUUUUUUUCCAAUAUAAAGAACCUUCUGUAUGGAAAGGUUUCAGAUGUAAAAUUUCCUUUAUG